rnacentral:rRNA from 1 species
CGUAGGCAGCAAACGUUGUUCGGAAUUACUGGGCGUAAAGAGUGUGUAGGCGGUUUCGCAAGUUUGGUGUGAAAUCUCCCGGCUUAACUGGGAGGGUGCGCCGAAAACUGCGAGGCUAGAGUGCUGGAGAGGAAAGCGGAAUUCCUGGUGUAGCGGUGAAAUGCGUAGAUAUCAGGAGGAACACCGGUGGUGUAGACGGCUUUCUGGACAGCUACUGACGCUGAGACACGAAAGCGUGGGGAGCAAA